rnacentral:tRNA from 1 species
GGGGUUGUGGCUCAGUGGUAGAGUGCUUGCCUAACAUGCAAGAGGCACUGGGUUCAAUCCUCAGCACCUCA